rnacentral:rRNA from 1 species
CUACGUGCCAGCAGCCGCGGUAAUACGUAGGUGGCAAGCGUUGUCCGGAUUUAUUGGGCGUAAAGCGAGCGCAGGCGGUUCCUUAAGUCUGAUGUGAAAGCCCCCGGCUCAACCGGGGAGGGUCAUUGGAAACUGGGGAACUUGAGUGCAGAAGAGGAGAGUGGAAUUCCAUGUGUAGCGGUGAAAUGCGUAGAUAUAUGGAGGAACACCAGUGGCGAAGGCGACUCUCUGGUCUGUAACUGACGCUGAGGCUCGAAAGCGUGGGUAGCAAACAGGAUUAGAUACCCUGGUAGUCCACGCCGUAAACGAUGAGUGCUAAGUGUUGGAGGGUUUCCGCCCUUCAGUGCUGCAGUUAACGCAUUAAGCACUCCGCCUGGGGAGUACGACCGCAAGGUUGAAACUCAAAGGAAUUGACGGGGGCCCGCACAAGCGGUGGAGCAUGUGGUUUAAUUCGAAGCAACGCGAAGAACCUUACCAGGUCUUGACAUCCCGAUGCUAUUUCUAGAGAUAGGAAGUU